rnacentral:rRNA from 1 species
AUUGAACGCUGGCGGCAUGCCUUACACAUGCAAGUCGAACGGCAGCACGGGAGCUUGCUCCUGGUGGCGAGUGGCGAACGGGUGAGUAAUACAUCGGAACGUACCCUGAAGUGGGGGAUAACGUAGCGAAAGUUACGCUAAUACCGCAUAUUCUGUGAGCAGGAAAGAGGGGGAUCGCAAGACCUCUUGCUUUAGGAGCGGCCGAUGUCGGAUUAGCUAGUUGGUGAGGUAAAGGCUCACCCAAGGCGACGAUCCGUAGCGGGUCUGAGAGGAUGAUCCGCCACACUGGGACUGAGACACGGCCCAGACUCCUACGGGAGGCAGCAGUGGGGAAUUUUGGACAAUGGGCGCAAGCCUGAUCCAGCCAUGCCGCGUGAGUGAAGAAGGCC